rnacentral:rRNA from 1 species
UGGGGAAUAUUGGACAAUGGGGGGAACCUUGAUCCAGCCAUGCCGCGUGUGUGAAGAAGGCCUUAUGGUUGUAACGCACUUUAAGCGAGGAGGAGGGUACUGGUAUUAAUACUACCAGGUACUGGACGUUACUCGCAGAAUAAGCACCGGCUAACUCUGUGCCAGCAGCCGCGGUAAUACAGAGGGUGCGAGCGUUAAUCGGAUUUACUGGGCGUAAAGCGUGCGUAGGCGGCUAAUUGAGUCGGAUGUGAAAUCCCCGAGCUUAACUUGGGAAUUGGAUUCGAUAGUGGUUGGGUAGGGUGUGGGAGGGGAUGGUAGAAUUCCAGGGGGAGCGGUGAAAUGCGUGGAGAUCGGGAGGAAUACCGGUGGCGAAGGCAGCCAUCUGGCCUAACGCUGACGCUGGAUUACGAAAGCAUGGGGAGCAAACAGG